CUGAUUGCAUGAAAGCAGGGAAUAAAGUUGAAACUUGUUCUCUCCAUUAAGCAACCCUUCAAAACUUUCAAUGCUUGUUUUGUUCUAAACAGACAUAAAUCUUGACAAAUAAUGAUCAACAAAUGGUAACAAUGGCAGUGAAGCCAACACAGCUACCACGGGCUCUUCACCUUGUUCCUGCCUUCAGAGCACCACAUCUUUUCAUGAAUGGGCAAUGUAUGAUGCAGUUCUGACCUUAUCACAACAUGUGUAACAUCUGGAAGAGCUGCCGCUUGUCAAGCCAACCAAGGCCUUGCUGACAGACAAAACCUUACAGAAUAUGUGUGGGGGGGAAUACAAGAAAAGCUAUUCAGAGCAGAAGCUGUGGAGCAAGAUAAACAGCAUGAGAACCAGGGACACCUCUAGAAGAAAGAGCAUCUCAUGGCUCUGACUGGAUAAGCGCCUGUGUGAACACUUGAAAAGUGUUUUGUAGAAUGCUCUGUUGACAUGUAAUAGUGGAUGGGAAAGUUGUAGGGGUGGAUGGGAAAGCUAGAAAAAGAAAACUUGUGAAGGUAUAUAAGUGAUGUGAGAACUUGUAAUAAACGUUUUGGAUCAUGCACAUCUGAGCCUUUGCAUCAGACACUGCAUAUGUGGGUAAGAAUGAAGGAUUUAGACACCAUCUAACCAAAUUAUGGACACCAUCUAACCAAACAGAUUUGCUGGGUAUUGAUCAGCAUUACGUAUGAAUUAGGCCUUGCGAUGAGCACGAGUUUUCCAUUAAUAAGGUAGAGGUUUUUUAAUUCUACAGUACAAACUAAUUUUUGUAUAACUGCAAAACUUUGAAAGUCGUGUUUAACAAAAUCAAUGUGUGUUUUUCAAUGUGUGCAUAUCCUUGGAGUAAGGGAUGCAGGGGACUAAAAGACAUUUUAAUUAAUGAUGUAAUGAUUUCAUGCAUCAAUAGGAAGAGUUACUUUUUUAUAAAUUUACUAUUCUCCAGUUCACCUUUAGAUAAAUACUCCCCAUAGGGAGUGUAUUUAGGAGUACAGGUUCUCUUAGACCAAAAGAGGAAAAAAAAAAGAUCCUGUUGCUUGCCUUUGACAGAUGCUCAGACUGUAUUCUCCAUUCAAUGACAAUUUUGAAAUAAAAAUAAUGAAAUAAAAAGUGGAGGCGUAAGGCUAGACUAUUCUUGUUCUCACUGACACUGCUUGGCAAUAUUUUCCAGUAUAUUGUUUUUACUGUGAAAAAUUAGUGUGUGCUAUCAUUUAUUCUUGUUAUUUAGAUAUUAGUAAUGUUUUGUUGUUUUCUUUUCAAAAAAUCUGUAAUUAUUUCACAUGGACUUCUCCCUGAAACUCAUAUUCAGGAGGAGAAUUUGAAACUUAGAAAACUGAAGUAAACAACACUCAGAAUUGGUACAGCUAAAUUCAUCUAUGGCUUUGAAAGUCUCCCAUGAUACCUUAGUCUUGCCCAUUAACUGCACCUGUUCCUUUUUCCUUUUCUUUCUUAUUCUUUUUCUUGGCCAUCAUUUCCCUUUCAAUAGCAGGUGUUUGGCUUUCUAAGAAUGCAUAGAAUAUUUUAUUUCAUUACUGUCUCGGCAUUUCAACUGAAAAAAAAAGUCUUCAUCCCAUCACUCUUCCCUUCGAAUUCAAAGAGUGGAGGGAGAAAGUUUUUUUUAUGUUUGGAAAGAAAAAUGAGCGAUAACUCACAGAGAAACACAAAGUGAAACAGUAAAUCUGUUUUCCACAAAUAACAAUCUAAAUUAACCGAUUUUAUACAUUUCUCUUUUUUGCUUUUUUCCUUUGACAAUAUAAUUUCUUAAAAAUAAGGUUUCGCUACAGUCAUUUUGAAUUGCUUCUAGUUUGGGUGUAUACUUUUCAUGAAUAUAAACACACAUAGGCUGCUACAGCCAGCUAUUCCAUAGAAGACCUAUCCUGUCAAUCGUAGAAUCAGUUAAAUUUCAGUUACCAGUGGCUCAUUCAAAUACGUGUGGUAUUUUUUCCUAGGCAAAGUGAUGAUGAAUAACAAUUUGAGUGUGAAGAAGGCAUUUUUCACAAGCGAUUACAGUUUACAGUAUUUUUUUAUCUAAGUUUGAAGUCAAGAAAACAAGCUAGGGAUACCUUGGUUGAUUUCAGGAAAUAAUCUCUGCUUCUUUGUUACAAAAUAAAAUUAAGAAAAAAUUAAGAAUACGUUAAAUCUAAACAUAGCCGUCUUCUACUUUGCUUCUAAUUAGCUUGCAUUAGUUUAAAUCUAAAACACAUUAAGAAAAAAGUCCAGAGAAAGAGAAACAAAUCAGAUUUUCUCUGGGCACUCUCUAACCUAUUACAAAGAAUAACUCCAUAUUACAGUGCAGAUGACUCAAUCCUUCUUUCUCUCAAUUACCAAGGAAAGUACAAAGGUCAUCUUCUGUGCCUUCCCAAAAACAUAGAAAAAUACCACAGAGAUCUCUGAAAACAAAUGUUUGACUCAAACACCACAGUAUUGUUUCAGGAAUCAUUUCUUACUGCAAGUGCUAUUUUAACACCAUCAGUAGGUGUUACCUAUGUUUUGGGACAGCAAAAUGUCACCCAUGCUAAAAAGGAAGGGCAGAAAAGUACUGUCUUGGCUAAAACUUUAAUAAGUAUCUACAAGUGGUGAAGAUAAUAAGAAACAAAAUAUAAUUUGUAUAGUUUGAUGUCAAUUAGGUGACACCUUUCAAAGUCUAGGGUUAUGGCCUGCUUUCCCUCCUUCCACUUUCAGCUGGCAGAUUUUCUUUUCCUACUCCAGUGGAAUCCAUCAGAAACAUAGUAUUCUUCCUUACUCCUGUUCUGUCUUGCUUAUUCGUUUUUUUUUUUAAUAAUCUAUUUCUCCACUGAGGUGACUCAUACCGUUUUCCCUGAAGGUGUACAUGCGGGCUAAUGCUACUGAAUGACAUGUGGUGAGAUCCUAAGUUCCUGAGCCGACUCAGUGACCACCUCUAUUUACAACACAAGGCAUAGCUGCCAGAGAGAGGCUAGCAGGUUGCAACAUGCUUGUUAAUAUUACUUUAUAAUUCAUAUCCUUAUCUCUAACAGCAAAUCUACGUAGCUCAGGAUAUGAACUGCAAUUGAGAAAUGAGGAACCUUUCAGUACUUAUCAGGAAUGACGAUAUUUGAGAUUUGGAGAUGAAGGGGUUUUUUUUUGUUUGUUUGUUUUGUUUUUUUCUCUUUUGGGGGAAGGUAGAAGGAUUUGGUGGUGGUGGUGGAUUUUUUUAAUGAGAGGAUUGACUGAUGUGUAUCACUUGACCCCUGUUUCAGGUAAUGGAGUAGCUGGCAGGGAGAUAUUCAUACUGAUUAGAUUAAGUGAGCUGGUAUUCAGAUUAACUUCUGAUUUCCCCAGUUAUUAUUUGUACAAGAUCUUUUUUGCUUUGAGUAAUUCUCCACUUACUGGUUUAGAAAGUGGAACUGACAUCCUCUGGGACUAUUGCUACCAGCUCACCAUCUUUUAUUAUGUGAGAUGACAUGAUAGUUAUAGAUCCACCCAGCCUACUAUUUUUUCAGUAGUAAAAUUAGACUUAUGUGAAAUUUGCUUUGUUCUAGCCAAAGAGCAGAAAUGCACAACUUGAUCAUCUAAACAAGAUUUAUAGUUCUGACAGUAAUCAGGAUAUUACUUUGAACUAACAUUUCUGUGGCUAAGGCAACUGCUGUCUUCUCUCAGGAACAAAAUGUUUGUUUAACCAGGGCAGCCUUCAGCUCUUACACGUUCUCAGAGUCCCACAAACUCCUCUGUUCUGGCUGGAUGAAACUAUGAUAUUCUUACCUUCUUUUGCUAUUGCUAAGCUUGUGUCUGACAGUAUCUCUGGGUCUUUCUGUUUUCACAAUUAACCUGCUAUUUGUCACUGUUUUGUCUCAACUGCCUUCCACAAAAUGUCUUUGAAGUAAUGCAUCAGAGGAGUGGAUUCACAACCAGUUUUCCAAAAGCUCCCUCACUGCAUCUGCAAGCCCAGACCCUGCAACUACAGAUGAGAUUCACCAUAGAAUGCAGCAAGUUAUCACAUGUGUAUGGAUUUCUACUAUUCCAUUGAACACAUUUUCACUGACAUUUCCUGCAUAUUAAACCUCAUAUUUCACAUAUCUGCACAGAAGACCAGGUUUGGUUACCAUGAAUGGGCCACAUUAUGUUUUUAUAUGUUAUUCAAUCUCCUACAGGCUUUUAUCCAAACCAAGCAACUAAAAUAAAACAUGGCUUCCUUCCCCGAGAUGGUUUCAUAGCUCAGCUCUCCAACUUUCUCUCCUACCACAAACACGCAACACAAUUGUGCAACAGCCUAGGAAGGAAUGGUGAGAUCAGAGCCUUGACUGCAGACAUCCUGACAUGGGGAUCUGGCAGCUAUUCAACACAAACACAAUUAGAGGACUUACCCUUGCGUGAAGUAUUUGCUUUCUUGAUAGUCACCAGCCUUAACCUCUAGGAAUGCUUACGAAUCAGAUAGCGUUCCUUGAGGAGGGUGAGCUUUUUCAAGCUCUUCUGUCUUGUUUUAGCCAACACAGAUGUAAAGAAGAAAGAAAUUCCACCACAUCAUACAACUUCUCCAAGUGAAAGCAUUUCAGAGUACAGAAGAGCUGUGAUCUCAAAAUUUCUGCCAAGGAUUCAAGAACCAAAUUUGAGAACAUGAUACUUAUUCCCUUCCCCCUUCAUUAUGACCAGCAGGAAAAAACAACAGCACAACAGGCAAGCUUUGGAAUUCACACCAAAUGUGAAAGUACGGGCUCCCUGAGUCCUACGUAUUGGCUUCACAUUACUGUAGGCUUCUCUUGCACUGCAUAUCCCACAGAAUGAUGGCAGAGUUUUGCGUAUCUUAGGAAACUUGGAGGAUGUGUGUGUUUGCAUAUCUCUUUGUGACCUCGUUCAUGCUUUCAGAAAAUGUAGCCUAAUAUACAUGUGUGUUAUCCAACCUACCAUGAAAGCUAAAGCAUAACAACACAAGUAUUUUGGUAGUUCUAUUUCUACUCAUGGUAAAUCCAGGGCUUUUCACAGAGGUAACAAAAUCUUAGCAAAGGCAACAACAGUUGACCUUAUAUAAAAUAACUGCUAGCAAAUAAGCCAAAUGUUGGUCUGAGAAAGCAGUUACAAAGGGAGAUUCAUGUUUUAAAAAGCCCAAGGAUUUAUAUUAUUCUCGAGCUAUGCUAGUGACUCAAAAUUACUGGACAGAAGAAGUACACAACCUCUGGUGUAAAGUAGCAGUUCUGAGAGGAAGGCUACAUAGGGGGAUUUCCAGAUGAUGCCAUGUAAGUGCCUCGACUACCAUGGGUACUACAAUUUACAGAGAUGCUUAAUAGAGCAAAUUAGCCAAGCUAAGCAGAGUGCAACACUAAGGAUGUACUGCUCCUACAACUCCAUGUAACUUAUUCAAUUCGUGCCAGGUGUUUCCAUGUAGCACUUAUCCCACAGGAAAAAAAAAUCACAGAAAAAUGUGCAGAGUCUAUCAUAAUGAUAUAAUAUAAAGGAAAAUAAUAAUUAUAGAAAAUGGUAAGGAUACCAGAAAUUCUGGACUGAACUUAGAGUUGCUGAAUUGUAUGACCUGCAUGAGCUAACCCUCCACCUCAGAGCAUAAGCACUUAUUCAAGAAAUGACAUUCAAAUGCUUUAUGACCUUUAGCAGCAGCUUAACAUCUGUAGGAGGAACAGUUGUGCAUUGUAGCUGCCUUCCCAAGCGAUUAAAUGCACCCUUCCAUUGUUAGUAACUUUCAAAUAACAGCAAUUUAAAAAGCAGAAGAGAAUGCCAAAAUAUCAGAGAUCUGAAUCCAGUCGGAACAAGAUGCUCCCAGUAAUAUUUCUAACACUAUGAAAUUUCCUCCCUUCCCCAGAAUACAGGGAAAUAUCUUCUACGGUAUGAGAAUAACAAUAAUGCCUCAACCUGAAAUUAAUGGUCACCAAGUUUCAACUAAAAGAGCUGAUUUAUGUUAUUUGGGUGCACAUGGAAAGAACAGGUUAUGUUCAAGACAUGGACUGCCUAGCUAUUGUAGCAUUGAUCUUAAAGCAGGGGCAUUAAGCAAGCAAAUACAGCAGAAGGAAUUAUUUCUGUUAACAUCUGCGGACCUACCCAAGCCAAGAAGUCAUCCCAAAAUAAAUUAAAAAAAAAAAUAUUGUCAACCAAAUAUGAAUGGUUUCUGGUCUUGACUUUUUGUAACUCUACUAAAAAAGCACAGUAUAAAUCUGCAACUCUGUAUCCGGGCAGUAAUUGAAAUACAUCAAGAAAAUGUCUGCAGUCAUUCCAGAUGGAAAAAAAAAAAAAAAAAAAGAGAGAGAGAGAGAGAUUUCAAAAUCUAUCAGUACUUAUAAACAAGGAUGUUACUUUCCCCUUUCUUAUCCAGAACCGCCACUUAAUUGAAAGGAUCAGUAUCUAAAGCAACUGGUGCUGCCCUGCACAUGAAUCCCCUUUUCACCUCUUCCUUCUUAUUUCUUCAGUGUUUUUAUUAACGUUAGUGACUUAUCUAAGUAUUAGAAUGUUUGGCUGCUUGGAAGCUUAUCAACAGCAAAUUUUAUGGGCUGUUUAGUGAUGGAAACAGGAGGAGUUGGAGCUCUCCCCCCCCAGCUCCCUCGAUAUGGAAGUCUUCAAGAAGCCAUGGAAUGCGCUUUCUGGUAUUUUUGGUAUCUUUAAAGUGUCAAGAGUGCAGAAUUUCUCUUGUCAGUUGUCACAGUGUGACUCACAAUUAGAGCCAUCUGCUCUGCAUUCACCUCCCCAGGGGCACUGCUCAUUUUUCACCAACUUCCUGUUGUUGACAGCACAGUUCCUCCCUGUAUCACUCUCCACCAGCACCCAUACUCCUCACAGACAUUGCAGCAGGCUUAAGCAGAUUUCCCUUGGGAAAGCUGUUAGCCUUGUUUUGCUAGUGGUUGGGAAAAAAUAUAGCCUGCUGAGAAAACUCUGAAGGCAGAGGCUGGUUUUCUAAAGGAACUGAACAAAUUACAUUGAUUUAUUUUUUUUCCAGGAAGGUUCCAUGGGUCUCAGAUCUCGUUCAAAAAGCUCAGCAUUUCUCUACAUCCCUUUUUCUUUCAAGGAGCACAGAAGCAUGAAAAAAUGUAAUACUUGUGCUAAGUCCUUUUAAAUAACUGACAAAAAUUACUGCCUAAACAAUAGGCAAAUCAUUUUUUAAAUGGCAGAAAUAAUUUUGAACAACAAACUUCAGACGAGGAAUACAUUGCCUCCACUUCCCUCCCCCUCUCCCUCACUCCUCCCAAAAUAAAUAAAUAAAUAAAUAAACAGAGCAGUUGUACUAGAGAUUUUUUACACCAAAUGCUUCUGCUGAUUGAAUCAAACCCCUAUACACAACACCAUGCUGAAGCAGCUAUACAGUUGCUGGGGUUCAUGUCUGAAUCAUGCAGAAAUACCACCUAGUCUGGGUAUGUCUAGCUGACCUCUGGUAUAACUGUAUGGUAUAGAUCUACCCUUGACAUUUUGCCUUUAAAGCCCCACGGGCUGCUUAGGUUCUGCCUGAUAGUAGCUAAAAGAUUUGGCCACAUAUACAAGCAAUUAUUUGAGUGACAAUAACAUUUUUACCCUUUCAAGACUUCCU